ensembl:lncRNA
GAGCAUUCCUGUACCCAGGGACUGCCAAUCCACAGGGCUGCAGGGUUCACCAAGCUGCAAGAGUCAGCAUGGAGGAGCAUGAGGAGAGCCCCCCUUGGACAGUGCUUCUUUAUAGAGAGUAUAAAAGUCGUGUGAGCCCUCAAGGAUAACAUUUGUAACGUGCACCCAAACCUCACUGCAAGUUACAGGGUGCUAUGUUAUGAGCAUUCUUGUGUCCCUUUAAACCUCUCAGGCUUUGUGUCUGUAUUAACAAACAAUUCAUUCACAUUUUGCUAUUUAGAGGAAAAGCUCAGAAUAGACUUGGUUAUUUGAUACUAAUUAUUUAGCAGGUAUAAAAGCAUAUUCAAGUCCCUAAUCUCCUUUCUGAGCAGGCAGGCACGCUCAUGUUCAAAUAGUUGCAUAACUUGCCCAUCUCUAGUUGACAAACCCUCCUAACUUUGUUUUCAGAUCACAUGCAACCCCACCCCCGGCCAAGCUGUGUGCAUAGCUGGUCUGUAUUACAGCUUGCUGUUAACCUCAUCCUCCUUUCACUGCUCUUCCUGCAGUUGGUUGCUUGUGUCUUGUAAGGUGUAUAAAGGACCAUCUGUUCAGGAAAGGGCUGCCCAACAUCUGUGCAGCUCAGAGCACCUUGGGUGGAUAUUGGUAAAACAAAUGGAUGAAAAAAUUCACAAUGACAAUUUGUACUGACUUGAGAUGUAAGAGAUUUGCUGGAUCUUGCUUCGCCUCUCUCCAUAGAAUCAUAGAAUGGAUUGUGUUGGAAGGGACCUUAAAGGCCAUCAAGCUCCAAACUCCUGCUGUGGGCAGGGCUGCCACUCACUAGAUCAGGCGCUAGACCAGGCUGCCAAGGCUCCCAUCCAGACUGACCUUGAACAUCUCUAGAGAUGGGGCAUCUACAACCUCUCCUGGCAGCUCAUUGCCCUCUGAGUAAAGAAUUUUUUGCUAACAUCUAACCUAAAUCUCCCCACUUUUAGUUUAAAACCAUUCACUGUUUUCCUAUCGUUAUCAGAUCAUGUAAAAAGUUGUUCCCCCUUCCUGCUGAUAAGCUCCCCUCAGAUUCUGAAAGGCCACAAUGAGGUCUUCCCUCAGCCUUCUCCAAGCUGAACAAACCCAGUUCUCUCAACCUAUCUCUAUAGGAGAGGUACUCCAGCCCCACAGUCAUCUUUGUGGCCCUCUUCAGAACCUGCUCCAACAGCUCCACAUCCUUCUCGUGUUAUGGGUCCCAGACACACACAGGACUCCCGAUGGGGCCUCACAAGGGCAGAGUAGAGAGGAACACUUUCCCUCCAGUCUUUGUCCAGCUUUUCAUCCACCAGGACACCCAUAUAUCUAGAUAUGUAUCUAUGUACAUGUAGGUUUGUGUUUGCUUGUGUAUUUAUCUGAACAGUUGGUGUAUGGUAUCAGAAGCACACAGGUCCUGCGCAUGGUGAAACGAGGGCAGUGCUGGUGUAAAGAAAUGUGAAGUGUUUCUAACUGGCCAAUCUUUCUCAACUGUUCACAUCUUCUGUUUAAAGAAAACUGACCAAAUCAGUAGAAUCACAGAGGAUUCAAAUAAAAGUAAAGCCAGGGCUGAGCCUGAUACUGGGAAUUUUGCUGAAUUAGGCAUAAAUUAGAUGUUAUCUCUCAGCCAGUUAAGAUGAUACUGAAAGCAGAUACUUCAAACUGUUUGCAGUGUGUGAGAGUUUCUAAUCUCCUUUCAUAUAAUUUAGAAUCCAAUCCAGAGCCAGGGCUGUGGUUUCAAGGCACGGCUGGAACAGAUACCGGAUUUCUAUGGGUGCUGGGGAAGUCAAGGAAAUAAAGCAGUCUUCCAGCUCUGUGCAUUAUCGUUGCAAACAAUAGCCUGCUGGCACAAAACAAGUUUUAAUUGAUUGUUGCUAUUGAUUUUACAGGAAGCAAAGCAGAAGAAAUUCAACUUGAUUUUUGUAAGCUGAGGUGACCUGAAAAACACAAAGGAGAAAAAGAGAAUAGAAAGCCCUCCCACAUUUUGCCCAGUUCUGUGAGCUUACAGCUGAGCGCUCCAUAAAAACCCUGUCCAUUGAUUCCCUAUGUAUUUUGACCAUAUUGAUUUUCUCAUUAUAUAAUCUCCAUCUGAAAAUUUUAUUCAGAUUGUACGUUUUGCACUGUCACUGUGCAGAUCAGAGUCCCUUCUUGUUUCUUUCUCCUCUCCCUUUUGACCUCUCCAGUCUACAUGGGGUAAAAGCUGCACCUGGAAAUUUAUGUCCUACCUUUCUGCCGGUCUUCCCUUUCUGGAGCGUUUUCUGUUCAGGAAGAGCCCAGGAUAUGGGAUUUGCCUCUACUCCUGCUGCUCUACCAGAGCCAGGCAGGGAGCAGAGGAGAUAGUCAUAGGCUGCCAGAUGUACUGAGACAGAUAAUUAGCCCAGGUGGGUAGGCUUGUGCUUGCUGAGGGGCCUCUGGCUGGAGCUGCUCAGGAAGGGAGGAGAUGGUCAACUUUGUGGGAUGCUGCUUAGAUUUAUUCUUUCCCCAAGCUCCCCUUGGGCAUGGAUUAGGAGGCUGAGUGGGUGAAGUUGGAGGAUUGUAGUGGUGAUGCUUUUGUAGAGAAACAGCAAUCAUCUCCACCAAAUAGAUCGGCAGCAUCAGCAACCAGACAAUUCAGAAUGGAAGGCUUUCAGGUUUAAGAUGAUGUAAACCCACAGAAAUGCAAGAUGAUUUGAACUGCGCCACAUCCAUGACAGUUGGUCGGCAGAGAUAUUAGCCAAUGAUGGUAGAAGAUACUUACGUGAAAAUUUGCAGCUGAUACUGUACUCCAAAUACGAUGAGCAUCAGAAGAAUGCAAGAAAUCAGCAUCAGAUGAAUGCAAGAAAUCAGCAUCAGAAUGCAAGAAAACAGAAAGGAUAAGAAGAUCAUUUUGAGAAGUUUUCAAGGAGACAACUAGAAAAUGUUGAUUUCAAAGUUAUAGUGUAAUUCGAGUCAAUGUAUGAUGGAGCAAUGUGGAAAUUAUUCCAGCUUGACGAGAUGCAAGACCUUAUAAGUAACUCUACAAAAAUUAGAAUUAUUGGACGAGAAAAGCACCUCAAUGAUACAUUGCACUUCAGUGGCUUCAAGGGUCCCUGGAUGAAGCCAUUUAGCACUUGGUAUGUUUUGGAAACUUAGGUAUGGAGCAUUCCUGAAAGAGUCUGAACUCAGAUGCCAGACAGGUCCCUCAUGUUUCCAGCUUCUCUGAGUCUACAUAGUUUGGCAAUAAAUGGGGAACUGAGAGUGGCUCUGAUAACAGAACAAGUUCAGAAACUUAACGUUCUCUCAGACCUGAAACCAUGACAACUGACAUUGCUGACAUCCUUUUCACAAGUCCUAUUGCACUCUGUUAUCUUCAGCUUCUAACUCUGCUUUGAGAGAAACGUCUUUAUUUGAGGAGCUUAAAACAGCCUCAGGUCUUCAGGACUGUGGCCCUGUUUUCCAACGAGGAUGUGGGAGCUGUAAGGGCCAGUGAGAGACUUACUGCUAAUGGACACAUUACCUUUACAAUCCUGGAGUAUAUUGUUAUUCAGAUAACAGGAAAUACUCAUCAAUACUGCUUAAGGUCUGAAAAAGUAAAAAGGACAACCUAGCUGAUGUAACUACUCAAUUACAGUUAAGAUUUAGAUACAUUAACACAGGAAACAUUAAUUAAUGUGACUUCACUGACAGUGUCUUCAAGCUUUAACAAUGACUUCUAGCUGCUAAUGUUAUAGUUUUACAAGAUGUUAAUGCAAUUCUAAACAUUUUUUGAAGAAUAAGGCAGCUUGAGAGGAAGGGUGUAAAAUCUUUGAUUCUCUUCACCUUAAUAUUUAAAGAAUAAAACCAUUCUGGAAUAACAUCUUCAGAAGAGAACCCUCAAAUAUACAGACAAUCUUAUAAAACACAGAGUUUAUGGUAAAAAAUUAUGGAAAUAUAGAAAAUCAAGUCUGACAGGGAAAACAUGUUUGUGAACAGUUGGAACUGUUCUCCUGAGUGUCACUUUUAAUGAUAGUUCAUAGUCAUUGAGGCCAUUAAGAUUGGAAAAGACCUCCAAGAUCAAGCACAACCAUCCACCUACCACCAAUAUUUCCUCACUAAACCAUGUUCCUCAGUACAACAUCUAAACAUUUCUUGAACACCUCCAUGGACAGUGACUCCACCACCACCCUGGGCAGCCCAUUCCAGUGCCUGAUCACUCUUUCAGAGAAGAAAUUUUCCCUAAUAUCCAACGUGAAUCUCCCCUGGCGCAACUCCAGUUCUCUCCCCAAUCCCACUUGGAAGAGGAACAGUGAAUGAAUGACUGUGUGGUGCUUUGCCACUUGCUGGGUUAAACCACAACAGUAAGGCAAUCUUUUAAUUCAAUAUAUGCAACACUUAGUGCAGUAAGAUCUUGUUUAAUGGAUCUUUGGCAUUAUGUUACCAUCAUUUUUCUUACUGAAAUUUAACUUGAUCAAAUUCAUAGUGAAGUGGAAUGAAAUCUUCCCAGCUCACAAAACAUUACAGUAGUUAGAACAACUGCAGUUCUCAUCUGUUACAUUCUAGCCUUAUACCAGUGUAUUAAUGUAAAGGUAUAUUUCCCUAUAAGAUGAACCUCAAGAGGACCUAAAUUGCAUUUUUAUCAAAUAAUUUUGAAACAAUUGGAGGAUUGCUGGAAGAGUUCUUAAGUUACAGGAUGUUCUAUCCUCUCUUGCAGGCAGGUCAAGUCAUAGCACAUCCUGAAGCUGGUUCUGCUCUGACAGCAUGCCUGCAUGCCAUGCAAUGGCCUUGGUGGAGAAACAGUGCUGUGUCAGAAGGAGCUGUUGAUUCAUCAUGAUUAAAAAAUGAUCUUCAGAAUUCUUGGAAAAUGGAUGAAAUAUCCAUUAUAGAUUUUAUGAGUACUGUCUUUAACAUGAAAGCUUUUUAAAUUGACCAUGAUUCAUACUAAUAAAUGAAUAUACCUUAAAAAAAAAUAGAAUCUAGAAUACAGGACUGCAGAGAACAACUCAAAACCUACAGUGACUUUUUGAGUUACUCUGUGGUGAAGAAGUAAGUAGAGAAAGACAAGUUGAUGAAUUAGGCCAAAUACUUUGCACCUUUAACAUCUACUGAAAUGGAUGGGGGCUGAAGAUUCAUACAGCAUCUUGCACAUCAAGGCUUUGUUACCACUAUUAGGUCCUUUCCCAUUAUGAAAACUACCUACGAGACCAUCCUUGAUGUCUGAUGUGCCUUGAUGGGCAGAACUGGAAGAGGGACAGAACUGUGCUUCUGACUCCUGUUUACUCCAUACUGCAUGAUUGUUACGUUCAUGAACCUGGUUUGGCAAUCACUGUAAAGGAGGAAAUAGUAAUCAUGUAAUUUCUUCAUAUACUGGAAAAAAAUACAAGAAAUAAGGCUGAGCUGUUUUUAAACAACCAAAGAACUAUUUGGAAAAUAAUUACAAAGCAAUAAAUGGGCAUACGUGAGGCAUAUAUAUCAAGACAGUGAAAGACAGGAAGUAGGAAAUGACAUUUUUCCUGGCCUAAUGUAUGAUAAUAAUUACAAGAAAUUGCAAUUUAGAGAAAACACAUUUCUUUUUGCUCCUAUCUGUAUUUUGGUAAAUUACUGUUCUCUGUUGUGACAGAAAAUUAAUUGCUACUGUGGCUGUUGAUUGCUUCUUAAUGACAUUGUAAUACACAGCUUUUUGGUUCAAUGUUAUUCUCAAUUCAAAUAUCUUUGUAAAUAUCAUAUACGGACUAUCUUGUAAGUAUGAUAUGAUUCAAGUUAUGCUUGUAAAACCUCCACUUAAAAUGAAUCUCCAUGUGACAGGUAAUUGGCUGCGGGCCUUUUUUUUGUUAUUGAUUUAACUUAAUGCCAAUGUACACAGGUGUGUUGGCGGGUUGUUCAAGCUUCCAAGGCACCCACAUUUGGCAGGACAAUUAAUUGUUGCAUAAUAAGAUUAUUUUCCCCCUUCAGUCCUGAAUCUUUUCAAAAGUUGUAUUUUAAACCUUUGUAGGUAUGUAUGUGGGUGAGAGAAAAAUACCCAACAAUGUUACCAUGAGGCAUGUUUCGAUUUAUUGUUUGAGGUGCUCAAGGAAACAGCAACAUAUAGAUAAGAUAUCUGCAAAUAUAUAUUUGCCAACUGAAGUGGAAAAAAAGAACAAAAAGCUUUAUAUAAUCAGGCUUUUACAUGCUAUAUAAAAUUCUAUAUUGCUAUCAGACAAAAUUGCUUAUUUUAGACAGAAAUACUACACUGAAAAUAUUAGCUGUCCGGUCUGCUUUACAUGUAGAUAGGAGAUACAAUUUGCCCUUGGACACAGAAAUAUCUGCAUCACAGACGCCCAGCGAAGGACUCAUUUGAAUACUUUGAGCAAAAUCCUGGCUCUGUUGAAGUUGAUGGGAAUUUUGCCAUUAACUUUGGUUGGACUUCAGUUUGCUUCUCCAGUGUGUAGUAAGGUAUUCAUCCCUGAGGAGUACACAGGGUAAUCUGGAGAAAGUGAACAACGCCACAGGAGUAACAGCUGGCCCAAAUUCUAGGGAGAGCAGUGACCUUAGAGGAAAAGAAGAGGCAGCACUGCUGUGGGAAUGCAUUGUAUGGAGAGGUGGGAGGAGAUUUCAUGAAAGGAUGUACAAGAUUGUUCCAAGCAUAGCAGGUAGCAUGACUGAACGUGUAAAAUCAAGAGCUGAAGAAAACACUUCUACUUUCACAAGCCCUAAGAAAUGAAUGAAGAAUGAAAAGUGUUGUGUCCAAACUUUGGAAGAGCUGGUUCUGUGAAAAGCUGUGUGAUGGCUCUUCUUUUACCCAGGUGUUUAUCUUGGGCUUGGUUCAAAAGCAAGGAUUUGUUUUGCCUUCCAGAUUUAUCCACUAAAUUGUGUUUCAUGGGGUCAUGCAAUCAGCUGUCCUCUCAUAAGAAAAAGGCCACAGCUGAGGAAACCAGGCCAGUUCAGGACUGCAGAGCCUUUGCCUGAGUGACUCUGAGAAGCUGCAUUGCACCUGAGUGGAAAAUCACUCUCCCAGGCCGAGGGAUGAUUUUUUAUCCUGGUGCUUUUUUUUCUAAAAAAACUAUCCUGUCAAGCUGUGACUUAGGUUAAAAUCAUUGGCACCACAGACAAGAAGUUGUCUGCUUCCAUAUAGAAGAGCAGAUGAUACACAUUCUGUAAAAAUCCAUAUAAAAUAUUUAUCAAAAUCUCAUUGCCCUGGAUGCCUACCAGAGACAAUCUGAAAAUUAAAUAAUUACUGUUUAACUUUCUCUUUAGACACCCAAACACUUUAUUCUGCAGUAUAUGGCAAUGGAGUAAAACAUACCAAAAUAAAACUUUGUUGACAUAGAGCUUUGUUUUAAUUUAAAGGGCUCUCAGAAGUCCAGACUGCUCAGAAAUAAUCCCAUUUUUUCUUGGCUGACUUCAACAGCUGACAGACACUGAUACAGAAGAUGAGAUGCAUGUAUGUGUGAAAGAUGGUAAUGGUAAUGGUUUGCUCUCCACCAGCAGAAAUUAAAGCCCAGUCAGUAUUUUCAGAUUGCUUAUUAACCCUGUUAGAUUGGUUUGGGAGAAGAACCAUCCCACAUGGAAAAUGCUCCCAGCUGCUGUGAGCACAGUGCAGUAGAAGCAGGUACUGCCAUGUGUGCUACUGCAGACAGUGGUAAGCCCCCUCCCUUCCCCUAUGCUUAAAAACAAAACAAGACAAAACAAAACUCAGUUUCUUCGGUGUACACAAGAGAAUGUUUGGCAUUUGCUACUACUGAGCAGCAUUCUUGCCGUGUUUUGCUAUCUGUCAAAUGGCAUGCUCAUCCUCUGCCAAGAAAAAUACUUGUUUCCAAUACUAAUCACGCUCCCUGACUACCCUCUAGUGUAUAUUCUUCCUGGACUGCUAUCUGUCCAUGCAACAUUUGAAAGAUAUUAAAAUGAUUAUGAUGAAAUCUCUUGCUUACUGUGCUGGCAAGAGCUGGGAUAUGCUCCAGAGUCAAUGCCUGUAGUUCCCAGGGAGAAGGCAGUGCCUAAAGUUGCUUCUUACUGACUGCCUCCAUCCAUCCACAUGUAGGCAGGACAUUGUCGAGCUCUGUGUGGAGCCACAGACAGGCUCUGCUCUGGUGUAAUGUUGUUAAGGUAUGAGUUGCUGGAGAAAUGAUGAAUAAAGAGCAGUUGGUAGGUAGAUCCCAGAGCCACAAGUGAUUGUACUUAUAAAAGGAGAAGAUUGUUGUGAAAUGUGUAAUGAUACUUGAAAGGCAGUAGCUGGCAAGUCAGCAUGAAUGGUUUUCUAUUUUGCUCUUCAUUUGGUGAGAUGGAAUAAGGGUAUCCACACUGGCCCCAACUCCUCAGACUGGGGAUGAUACAACUACAAGGUGCAUCCCUACAUGGUCAGAUCAUUUUGGUAUCUCCUAAUGCUAACACCGAGACUUUCGGCCUUUGAAAUUCCUGGAAGUCUUAUGAGGAGUGACUGAGGGAACUGGGAUUGUUCAGUCUGGAGAAGGCUCAGGGGAGACCUUAUUGGUCUCUACAACUGCAUGAAAGGAGGUUGUAGUGAGGUGGGUGUCGGCCUCUUCUCCUAGGUAACAGCAGUUAGGAUGAGAGGUGAUGGCCUUAAGUUGUACCAAGGGAGGUUCAGAUUGAAUGUUAGGAAAAAAUUAUUCUCAGGAAGAGUAGUAACACAUAGGAACAGGCUGCCUAGGGAGGUGGUGGAGUCACUGUCCCUGGAAGAGUUCAGGCACUGAGGGGUAUGAUUUAGUGGGCAUGCUGGGGAUGAGUCGACAGUUGGAGCAGAUGAUCUUGGUCUCUUCCAACCUUAAUGAAUCUAUGAUUCUAGGAUAAUGAUUCUAUGAAGGAUUAGCCAGUUGUUCCUCCACCUAAGACAUAACUUUUUACUUCCCCCCCCCCCCCCAAAAAAAAAAAAAAAGUUUUUUGAUCGACAUAUUCAUAUGUCCAUUUGGCAAUUAAAUGUUCUGUUUUUAUCCUCCACAAUGUAAGAGCUGCAUCUCUUUCAGGAAUCUAAAUCUGAUUUGUGUCCCACCUUACCAACAGACUAAUUAUGACUUUAGCAACAAGUGCCCUGAGACACCUCUGCAAACUAUUGAUGCUCAGAGUUGAUCAAGGAGAAGCUAGAAGCAUCUCCACAUAUUCCUGUUGUGCGUUGCAAGCCACAGCUCAACCACCACCAUUAUGGCAAACUUCAUUUGUUUUUGCAGACAUCAGGGUGGAAUUUGUGUCAUUUCUCUUUCAGCAUCUACAGAAUAGAUAUCUACAGCUGUGCUAAUCACUCUGGGCUCUCCUUAUAGGCAAGGAAGAGAAAUAAGUGUUUUUAGGGUGCAGUUUUCCUGACCUACUGUAUACAUUUACUUAAGGAGGACGAAUCACACUCAAGAUUCCUAUGCAUAGCCUGUCUAUGUCCUCACUGACUGUACUGAUAAUCUGGGAUGAUUAGCUUAACUGCGUACCAUACGCAUGUUUAUUUACCUCUGCUUAAUUACAUAAGUGAUAUCCACUGCCCAUUACAGAGCAGGCUUUGAAUGUAGAUGAUGUAGGCAAUUUCUGCAAGUAUUAUAGCAGACUGAAGCAAGCAGUGGUGCAUCCUCUUUCCAUGAAAUGGAAGAACUGUCUUUGUUGAGAGGAGGAUACUCUAAUUCCUUCUGUUUCUCCAUGGAACAGGACCUGACUCUUCUGGAAGAAGCAAAUAGGAGACAUUGACGUUGGCAGCAGUGUGAACUGUAGGUGGAGGAGUUAAUUGAGAGGUAGUUUAGGGACAUGGCAGGUUGCACUGGCUCCCAAAUGAUUAGAGAUGGUGGGGGAUCUGGUUGGGGAUUUGCUUAAGGAUCCCACCCAACUCUGCUCCAGAGGCAUUAAACAUCCCUGUGCUACCUAAUUCCAUUCCUUCUUUGUCUCAUGGAGUGUCCUGAAACCUCCUCAUAGCCCUCACAUUCACCUCCCCUCUCUCUCUCUCCAAAACCCAAUUUCCUCUCCCCAUCCUCCAAAGUGCCCUCAACUGGUCUCUUCUAGCCUCCUUUCUUGAAAGCUCUUCUCCAUCUCCUUCAAACUGUGAGGGGUCUUCAGAUCAAAGAGCAUUAGAGGGUGUAUGGUGGCAUGCAGUUUCCUAUGUUAGCUUGUGUUUUCAUAGAAUGGCUUGGGUUGGAAGGGAUCUCAAGGAUUAUCAAGCUCCAACCCCCCUGCCACAGGCAGGGCUGCCAACCUCCACAUUUAAUACUAGACCAGGCUGUCCAAGGCCCCAUCCAACCUGGCCUUGAACACCUCCAGGGUCAGGGCAUAGACAGCCCCUCUGGGCAGCCUGUUCCAGCACCUCACCACUCUCACAGUAAGGAACUUUCCUCUUAUAUCCAACCUAAAUCUUCCCUCCUUCAACUUAAAAUCAGUUCCCCUUGUCCUGCCAUUAUCUACCCUUUCUAAGAGCUGUUUUCUCUCUCCUGUGCUUGUGUUUUAUAUUUUUCAAAGUACAUUUUUCAAAAUUUGAAUGAUGCUCACUUAAGGGAACACUUAAUAAUUUUGUUUACAGUUAGAAAUCUUAAUUAAUAAGAAAUAGCCAUAAGAAUGGCCCAGGAACUUCAAGAGAACACAUAAAAUUUCCUCUGGAGCCCAGAAUGAUGCCCAGAGAAAGGUCUCCAGUGAUGUAUUACAACACUUUUUAAACUUAAAUUGCAUAAUGAAUAUUCAUAAUACUUAUUAUAGCAUAAUUAGUGAAGUAACAAGGGUUUGAAGAUAGGAGUCUGGCAAGAUCUGUACAAGAGAAAAUGCCCCAUCCCUGGAGGUGUCCAAGGCCAGGCUGCAUGGGGCCCUGGGCAGCCUGGUCUGGUGCCUGAUUUAGUGGGUGGCAACACUGUCCAUGGCAGGGAGUUGAAACUAGAUGGUCUUUGAGGUCCCUUCCAACCCAAGCCAUUCUAUGAUUCUAUGAAGAGAAAGAAAUUUAAUUUGUUUGCCUGACUGAGGUAUGAGGGAAAGCAGACAAGCUUUAGGCAUGAGGCCUUUAGGUAAAUAGUGAUAGAGAGAUUACAACCUCCGAAUUAUGCUUAUGGAUCAUAUAAACUCCACAUGGCUGGAAUCAGAGGACACAUUUCAUAUCAAGGGAAAUUUUUAAUAGAAACAACAAGUUGGUUUUGGUUCACCUUUAUGGUUUUAAAACUGUGAGAUGAAAUAUUUUUCCUACAUCUGCAAAAUAUUUUGAAUUUUGAAAAUGUUUCUAUCUGAAGUGCAAUAAAAAGCAGGAGCUGCAAUAAGUUGAUGAGUCAAUAAUGAAUAAACACAGUGUUUUGAAUUGAAAAUUUUGGCACAUUUCAGUGCAGUUACUAUUACUGAUACAUUUUUCCUGUGGAUACACUGACAUUUAAAAACCAAUCUGUAAUGAAGGGAAAAGAAAAAAUAACAUACAUAGCAUGUGGAAACAAAAGGCUCAGAAUCAGAAUUAUUUUGCAGAAAAAUCAGGUUUGAAAAUGUAUCUUUUUCUGGACAAAAGAGUGAAAUAAAACAGUUCAUCAACAGUGCUCAUACUCACUUGCAGACCCAGCAUAUGUGUGUACCACUGACACAACACACAGUUGCCUUCUAAAUACUUAAUUAAUUGUUAGGAUGAUAGUUAAUAGUCGUCCCCAGAUUUUCAAUAACGGGACGAUCCUCCUGUCAGUGCUGCUACUGCAAAUCUUUUCUUCACCCUUGCAGUGCCCUUCCCUGUGCAACUGGGCAUUUUCAUUCCUCUAUUUAUUCCAAUGAACUACAGAGACCCUGAGCAUCUUUCUCUCUAUUAUUAUGCAGAUCUGCUUUUCUAGAUUCUUGGUAUUUUAUUUAUUGCACAAGCGUAACCCACUGGUAAUCAAUGACUACAAUUACAAGACCUUGAACACAAUGAUAGAAGAAAUAAUAUUUUAUGUUUGGCUUGAAAAUAAACAGCCCUCCAUUAGCACAUUUUGCUCACCAUGACUACUGGUGAUGAAGGAAGUCGUCCACCUUGACAUCCCUUGAACCAGGCUACAGUACCACAAGGACUAUAUACACAUUAAAAGACAACUAAUUGAUUAGGGAUCUUUUAAAAAAUUUGGGCCAGAUCCUGAAUCCCACAUGCAUCACACAUUCAAAAAAUGAUUUUCCAAAAGACUCUGAGAAUUUCUGCAAGAUGCGUAGCACAUGUCUGACCUUUUCCUGUCCCCAUGAGGUUCCAGGUCCCUCCUCACUCUCAGCCCCAUAGGCACUGGCCAUCCGAGUCCUGAUCCUGCCAGAGUCGGACUGCAGAUGUGAUGAACACUAGCUGCUGUCUUUGCCUGGUAGACAUGUCCAUCCAACACUGAAUCUUUCACAAAUUUUGCCUUCAGUAAAGAAGAGAGGAAGAAAAAUAGAAUAAGAAAUCAUGAAAACCAUUUUUAGAGGGAUUUUAAAUUUGUGCUGCGCUUUCUGAUUCAGAAUUUGAGCUGCACUCUGUGUUUCAGAUACAGUUGGACUUGUUAUUAAGACAAGCAAAGAUACAGUUGAAAAAUGCUGCUAAUAAUCUGGAUAAUUACUUUCAAAAUGAUCUACAUAAUUCCUGAAAUAGCUAAAAUAGAUACAUUCAACAUCCAUAACAAAGAAUAGUAUUCAAAGCAUUUAUAAACUAAAUACUGUUGCCACCACAGUCUCUUCAGACCUACCACCAAUUUGAUAUAUAUUUUCAGACAAGCCCAGGAAAAAUAUGAUUUGAAGGAUCCAUUAAAAGGGAAACUGCUAUUCAACUUUGGUUGUUGAUAGAGCCAUAAAAUAUAUAUUUAUAUGCAGUUUUAUAUAUACAAAAUGAAACUCACAUCCUACAGUAUCUUACUGGAGCUCAGAUGCAGCACAUGACAUAUUAUAUCUGUGGAAAUGGGAUCUAUAACCUAAUGUAUUCUUGCAUCAAAGAAUAAUGUCUCAUAAAUAAAUCAUUACAGCCUGUCACAUCUAUGGUUUCACACUGUAGUGUAUAAAAUAAUGUAUUUUGAGAUACGAGAGAAGGUGAUUAUCUAAUGUUUCAACAAAAAAAGAUUGUCCUGUGCUAAUGCAUGUGCUGUCUUAGAGGUGUUAUUGCCUUACCGCUGUUCAUUGAAGACUAAUCCAUCAUAUCAAAGGAGCGACAGCAUUUCACUUUUAAAAAACUGACACAAUUUGCACGCGGCUUUUCUCUUUCAGUAAUUAAGAAAUCAAAUAAGCCUGAGUGAAACUAUUUAAGAGGUUCUAGAUAUAAUUAGAACACCUCAUUCUCUCAUAACUAAUUCCUAAUUAAAGUAAUUUGUCUUUUUGCCCUUCUUUUCAAGGGUGAAGAGCAAGUGGUGAUGAAUGCUCAAAAUCAGGAAAAGUGAAAAUUGCAGUGUGUUGAUUUGCAGUGAUUGAGCGCGUUCCAGUUUUUAACAACCACCUUCGGCUGCAAAGCUAAAUGAAUCUCCAGCCUCUAUUUACAUUGAGAAUGUGUGAUCCAGAGCCUGACAAUUGAUAGAAUCUGGAGACAAAAGGGCUGAAGUCUGAGUCUGAGUUCAAAAGUUGCCUAUAUUAAGCUUUGCACAGGGGGAAAAAAUACAGUGAGACUGCACAGGAGAGAGAAGAAGUCUGAAAUUUGCUCCACUGGGUGAAAAUUGUCCUUUUAAAAUUUUAUUUGCAGCUGUGCCCAGAUGAUGACGGAUUUAUCAUAUGAACCAGGGAUUAGUAAACAAUGUGUACCCUAUAAAGAGCAAAACAAGUCCUUGCUCAUCACUGCACUUAAUUGCAGUGGUUAUAUCAAAGCCAUAUAAAAUUUAAUCAUCAACCACAAGUAAGAUUUUGCCUUGCAUGUGUGCUUGCUUCCCUGUUUUUCCACCUGUUUAAAUGAAAGAUUCUUGGAAUAUCACAAUAUGUAAAUAUUGUUUAUGAUGCAAAAAUAUGCUCUUUCAUCUCCUGGCUGCUUUGAUGUCGUGAUAUACAAAGCUUUUAGUGCCACCACCUACCUGACACACAAAGGUCUUAUCUGAUUCAUAAACAUGUGUGCCCAGUGCAAACAGGCUGUAUCCAAUAGAUGAUUUUUCUUUUCCUUGCAAUGUUUUUUUAACAGACAGAAAGAGAAAGAAAGUGUAAAUGACAGAACUGCUCAGGUGAAAAGAUUAUUUUAAGCAUCAGGUAAAGAUAAGCCCAUUAUGACAGAAGAAAAAGAUGUAGGUCAGUAUCGAUCCUAAGAGGUUAGUUAUAUAUAUAGUCAUCUCGUAAAAUGUGUUUUAAAAGCUGAAACUUUUUUUAAAGACUUUUGAUCCAAGUGGGAAAUAAGCAGCAAGAUCAGGUGCCCUCCUAAGACAUACAAAUAUGCCUAAUUAGCAGGAGAAGAAAGAGAAAAGCAGGAAGUGAGGUCAACACUGGAAACAGGGCAAACGGAGUCAGGGAGGGAAUAAGGUGUAGGUAAUAGUUAAAAUUUGCGGCUCAUUGGUAACAAUUUUAAACCUAAAGGAGCAGCUUAUUACAGGUUAAUCCAUGAUAUGUCUAAUUUACAGCUAUGUGUAUGUGAAUUUCUCAUAAAACAACGGGAUGGAGCUUCGGUCUGAUGGAGCCUGAAUUCUGCAAGGGGCAGCUGCUGUCUCCAGCUGAAAACACAAUACUGUUUGAGAGAAGUGUUACAACUGCUAGCAAAGGUCCUCUGGGCUUUUUAGGGCAAAUUAGGUCCCCAUACCCUCAGGGAUCCCACAGCUGUUCCCCCUGAGCACACAGAGCACCAAGAUGUGUGCUGAUGGCUGCAACAGCAGCAUAGCAGGGCUUGAUCUCAGCCACCUGAGAACAGAAUUUGGCCAUUUAAUAUCACACAAUAUCACAUAAACUGCAAGAACUUCAAGGUGUAAUGCUUCUUCUCUUUCUUCUUUCUCUCUUCUUUUUUUUUUUCCCUUUCCAUUCCUUUUUUUUUUUUUUUUUUUUUUUCUCUGUAUCCAGGAGCACCCUGGGAAAUCCUUUCGUGUUCUUUAUUUCCAUCUAAGCCCUGGCUUGCUUUGAACAGCAGAGGUAAUUGUGCGGGUGAACUUCAGAGAUUUGAAGGGAUCAAACUUGAAAGCCCCUGCCUGAAAGUGCAAGCUCCAACUGGAAUGUUGUCAGGUGCUGUGAGACGGGACGUGGCGGUGCUGCCGUCGGAGGAAUCCUUGCACAGGGACAGUCUGAACCUGCGCAGCGCUCCCUUUGCACAGCCCCUGCAGUUAGCAAGGCUCCCAUAACCCACAGCAGUGCUCAAAUGAGGCAGUACUGCCCUCUCUGAUCUAUAAAUGGGUGUGUGUGAUGAUGUGACUUGAUGAAGGUCAUCUAUGUCAGACAGUGGCAGAGGGUGAAGAAACCAUCCUGAUGUCUAUUUUCAGGUUUUCCCUGAGCAUCAGAGCAGAGAAGCCAAAGGGAUGCAGGUCUACAUCGUUUAUGAGAGCUACAUGUUCCUCUGGCUAGAAAAUCCUGGGGGAUUCAAUAAUAAUAAUAAAAAAAGAAGAAUCAGGGAAGAACUGAGAAGAAUAUAAUAGAAGUUUGCAGAUGGGGAAUUUCAGAAACCAGCAAAAUUCACGGAAGGAGAUUGUUACAAAACACAGCCUUUGCAAUGGAUUUAUACAUUCUUUUAAAUUUUACACGACAGCCAAAACACUCCAGAUACGCUUCCUCCCUCUGCCAGUUUUCCUCGAUCUUCUCUUUGAGCACAGGUGAAGUUCCUCAUGUUCCAAGACAGGGCAGGGUAUGUUCUGCUGCCAUUUCCCACACCCUUCUCAUGCCGUAUCUGACUAUCAGCACUGCUGCAAUCCAGGAAAACAGGAAACAUCAGAGCCAGUUGGAUUUUUCAACUCCUGAAUGUGUUUUGUUCAGAGUUCCUUUGGAAAAUAAUCAGGAAAACAAAAUAUGUUUUUACAAUUGUUUUUCCCCACUGGGUUUCAGACAACAGCAGCUAUAACAUGAAGUGAAAAAUAUAUUUAUUUCUUCUUCAAUCAAAAAUAUUUGGCUUGACCAAGAAAAUCUAUCUUAGUAAUCACAUACUGUGUCAAUGCCAUCCAUCUUCUUCUACAAUAGCUAUUGUCAUCGAUAGUGAAAGUUUGUUUCCUGUAGUAAGAAGCAUGGGAGAUGUCCUUUCUUGUUCCGUAUUUUGUUCUGCUUUGCCCUGUCAUAAGGCUAUUAACUACACAGUUACGUUUCAUUUUAAGAUUCUCAGUUAACACUCCCUGUCUUUACACUGCAAACUGUUUCAUCUUCUGAAUUGCGAUCUGCCAGUGGCUGAUGCUGGCAACACAGCACAACGUACAGACUUCUGAUCUCUUUUGGCCUGCAAGCUUUUCUUUCCUAACUGAUGGAUGAAAACCAAUUCCCUGUGCAAUUUGCUGAACUUUACUGUGGUUCUCAGUGCCAUUUCAAUUUAUGCCUAAUAGGUGGAGAAUCACAGAAUCACAGAAUGUCCCCGAAGAUCACUGAGCCCAUCUCCUGGCUCCACUUGGGGCUCCCUAAGAAUUAAACCAAAGACAUGUGAAUGCAAACUGAUUCAGAUGAAAUCCAUGACAGUCCUUCCACUUCCGGCCCUCUCAUAUGGGCAGACCCUUGCUUCAUUCUCACUUACUAUUGAAUAAAUAGUAUACGACUUUUGUGGAAUCAGCUAAGGAUUAGUGUUCCACACUCACACUUGUUGCCAUCCGUCUCUUUUCCAAAUUAUCCAUUUCAGCCACUGUGUGUGUUGAAGAGGUGUAAAACAUUGGUCUGAUAUGUGUGUGCUAUUACAGGAAGAAAUACAAGAGCAAACUCUCCUCUAACCCAUUUGAAUGCUUGUGAGACUGUUGGAGUUGUUGAGGUUCAAGGAAUGCCAUCUCCCAGGCUCCUCAUUGUCAUCUUCUUGGUAUCUGAACAUCUGGGGACAGCUGAGUCUGUGCAAGUUCAGUAGGAAAAGGAAAAUUAGUCAAAAGUACAUUUCUGCUCUGUAAGUGGUGUAUUUAAUUUCCAGCUAUGGAACAAAACACAAUUACCCAUGGUCCAUUUUUUCUGGGGUCAAGGCUGGCUAGAUUGUUGUAAUAAUCGUAAUAACACUCCCUCACUUGCUAUUUACCUUGGGAGCUAUUUGCUGUCCUUUGUCUGCAUCUGACUGUUGUGUAGGGACUGUGCCACAUCUUUGUGGUACAGCGUGUGUUUGGUUGCAGGGAUCUUUUGUGUCAGAAAAGGUAAACUUUGCACUCACAUAAAUUCUGUACUAGCCAGGACACAGUGAGACCUAUUCAGACUACUCACUUUCCUGAUAUAUGUAGCCACAUAAUCAUGGAAUAAAGACUCUGCAAAGUAUAUAGUGUUUUAAAGAUAAUUUGUACUACAGCAGCGCAUAGAGGAAGGGGUGCUUGGUAUGAAUUACAUAGAAAAAGUAUACUUCACCAUGACCUGGGGAUCAGUUGCAGAUUCAACUCCAGUUUGGUUUGGCCAGAUGUGCAAAAGCUAGGAGGAAGGUGUAGAAAGCACCAGUGUAACCAUGUGAAACCAGGCUUUGAAAAAUAAAGAACUGGCUCAAGAUCACAGGACAUGAUCUAUGGAAGAGAAAGAAGUUUUGCAUGUAUCUCCCGAAUUGCUCUGUAGUGUAGUAACUAGUAUUCCCUUUACUCCCUUGAUGCUAUAUGGGAUGUAAAAUAAUGCUCAGUUGCUGACCUCACAUACAGCAAACUGACCCAUUGUUUUCUAGGGAAAUUCAGCCAUGCAGAAAGGAAAUGCUCAGACAUCUAAAUAGCAAAACCAAAGCACUUAUGACCUUUUCUCCUGCCAAGAUCAAAGCAGCAACUUAUUUUCUCCUUUUUUCAAAUUUUAGUGACAUUAGCUAAUGUCACUGCUAAUGUCAACGUGCCAAGGUAUCUUGGUGCCAACUGAACAGCCAGGACUGGUAUUGCAAAGAUACUAAUGAUGUGCUGCUGCUGUCUCAAAGGGAUCCAUGCUGCCAGGCGCUUGUGAAGGACAAGGAAUAAUUUGUACUUUGCAUUGAGCCUUUCACUUGCUUGCAAAAGGUUGCCUGAGUGGAAUGGGACACACAUCAUAAGCUCAACACUUCUUUCAAAUUCCAAACAUACUUUCCUAACUCCACUUAUUACUAAAAUCAUGAUUUUAUCAUUCAAGAGCCCUAGCAAAUCAGCAGAGAAGAAUGUAAGAAAAUUCUACUACUGAGAUCCUAGCCUUGUUGUUCACAGGAAGUUAAAGCGAAACUCUUACAAGCAGAGCAGAGAUGCUUAACAGUCCUUGUGUGCUCACAAAGAAAAUAGAUUUUGUUUAUCAUUUAGAUCAAAAGAACAGGCAGAUUUUUAUUGAUUUUUGAGAUACAGCACUGAUCUUUGCCUCUGCGUCUAAUGGCUGUGAGCACUGGGUGCUACAGUAAUAGUGAGGAAAUAUAGCAAUUUUACACUGUUAAAUCUUUAUCUUGACUGUCUCUAAUUUAUCCAUCUUUAAUAAACCCCACUGCUCUGCAGCUGGUAACUAAAUCAGAGGCACAAGCACAACAUGAAGAGGACAAACUGAAGCCUUCUCCACAAGAUAUGAGGAAAGGACAUGACCUGCAAAUACACUGCCGAAAAGGCUGUGUAUAUCUUAAAUCUCAAUAAAUUGCUUAUUGUGGUGAUUUGGGAUAGCGUGGUGGCACAGCACUGAGUUUCAGCAAAGAAGGAGCUAUUCAGAUUAGCUGCUCUCCAGGGCUGUGGGCCCAGCUCCCUCAGGAUCCAAUGAAAAAAAGGAAUUUGUUCAUACAGUAUGAAUAGAGUUUCUGCAAGUGAAUCAAAAUCUAUUCAUAGUGAAUAGAAUCAUAGAAUCACUAAGGUUGGAAAAGACCACUAAAAUCUUCUAGUCCAACCAUCAACUCAUCCCCACCAUGCCCACUGAUCAUGUCCCUCAGUGUCACAUCUCCACAGUUCUGGAACACCUCCAGGGACAGUGACUACACCACCUUCCUGAGCAGCCUGUGCCACUGCAGCACCACUCCUGAGAAGAAAAUUUUCCUAAUAUCCAAUCUGAACAUCUCCUGGCACUACUUACAGCCAUUACCUCUUGACCUAUUGCUGUUACCUGGGAGAAUAGACCGACCUCCACCUCUUGUCUUGGUGGCAGUAUUUGAAUAGCUGGUCUUGCCAUUUGCUUCUUGACUUCUUUGGUUGAAAUGCCAGAAGAGACUUGUAAUCCCACUUUGUGCAGUCUAAAAUAUGACCAUAACUCUUUAUCUUCUGAAGCUACUGCAGCUACUGAAAAAGGGUAGUAAAUUACCAUCUGACAAUGGGAAAGGAAAAAUGCUGUUCUAGACUCUCUGCUUUCAAAAUGUUCUUCCUUACCUGAAAAGUUUACCUAGUUUAUUCAAUAUUCAUGCUUUUCAGACAUGAUGCCCUUGCUUCCUAUGUUCAAAUUGUAAGGAAGUAUUAUUGCCCAAUGCCAGAAACUUGCAACUAUUCUUUAAUACGCUAGGUGCACUGACAUAUUUGCACUCAGACUCUUACAUAAAUUUCAUUUUCCAUUGAAACAAAAGAUUGUACCUUUGCAGGUCAUGAGGUCACCAAAAAGCCAACUACUAUUUUGUUAAAUUAAAGAUCUGAAUUUGUUCUGCAACAGGAAGGUUUGAGGGAUUUCAUAGACAUGAAUCAACUUGGAUUUUUGAAAAUUGGGGUAUUUUUACUUCUCAUUUUACUGGCAUAACAGUGAAAGAUGUACUUCCAGAAGACAUAUUUGUAUAUCUAACUUCUCACUUUUCAUCACUGUCUAUAUGAUAACUGUGACUGCAGUUUUUUUGCACUGGUAAAAGAGAAUAUCAGUUGUGCAUCAGCUGUGCUCGUCAUAAGAGACUCUUAAGUCUUAGCCAAUGUGAAUACAGAGGAGUCUAUACUUUUGCACAGACAAAAGCUUCUGACCUUCUUUACUGGCAGAGUGAAAAUGAGUGUUAGCCUCCUUGCUCAGGCAGCAUUUCAUCCUAUGAGAUCAUUUUAGUUCCUUUUAAUAACUUGUAUUUGUUUUGUGAGGUAUUUAGGAAGCGUUGGCAGGUAGGGUGCAUGAGUGAAACUCUUUCUUAUGUUAGAGCUAUUUGGAAUAGAAGACAAUUGAGAUUAGCUGAUGACUGAGUAUUCUUAGGGAAUGAACUUCUCUCUUUGAAACUCUGAGCUCAUGUGUUACUACAUUUAACUCGCAGCUCUGUCAGGUUUACAACGGCACAGGGGCAUGCAGGGUGCACGAUGGCAGCAGCGAUGGGGGAUUCACUGGGUAACGCUGCAGGUGCACGUGUUGCUCAUGGCAGCAGCUCCAGCCAGAAAUGCUGCUUUUAUCGAGGUCAUAAAUCAUGUCAGCCCUCCUGAAUACAGUUUUUCAAAAGGGUGAAGCCAUGGCUUGUGUGCUGGAUAUUUAUCUUGCUCUUCCUAAUGCUUUCCCAAAAGCUCUCCUUGAAGGCGGUAAACAGUUCUUUUGGCCAUAAUUAGAACUAAUUGAUUGCUAGAGGGGUUUUAGACCUGUGUCAAACCAAAGGGACAGAGAUGGGAAGAGGAGGCUGAUUCCCAGGCUGUUUCCUUGGCCGUGUACGUGGGCACACAUCAUGGAAGGGAUGAGUUCUAUUGACCCAAGGCAGUGGUGCUCAGGUGUCUGGUGAGUGUGGUGGGAGCCUCUCUGUACUCUGCUGUGGCUGCAGAGACGAUGUGAGCUUUGAACACUCACUCCACGCUCUGCAAAGUGGCAAUGUGGCCCCUGCCAUCCCCGAGGCUGGGCUGAAAGCUCUGAAGUUUGCAGAGAAACAUGCUGCGUCAGGCACAACCAGGCUGGCCCCACAUAAAGUCAAUACUUGUGUGAAAACAAAUAAAAUCUUAGAGUACGAGGCAGAGGCUAAAGAAUGCCUUCACCUCUUUCCUUCAAGCAACUAUUUUGUUAACUUGAAAGACGGCAGGGGUGAUCUUACUCCAUUCUUUCUCUACAGGUCAAAUACUUGUCAUAGGAGACACCCUAGUUAAUAUUAAACUAAAAAUUAAUAGAUUAGAUAACUAUUAUAUGCUUUUAGUGCCAAUUAAUUUAAUAGCUGGUUUUUUUUGUUUUGUUUUGUUUUCUCUUUUUCUAGCAAGGUAGGUGAAUAUAGCAGCACAGUUUACUGUGUCUGUAUGAGCUCUCAGAUGGGUCUUUUGUGCUACAAUUACCACCAAUUGAUUGGACUGACACAUGUAAUCCCCUUUGGAUCACCCAACGAUAUGAUGUCAGUAAGAAGUCCUUCAAACAGACUAUUAAAAAGCACAUUAAACAUGUCCUUAUUGUAAGCUUUAUGCUAGCUUAUGCUAAAAUAACAGUGAUACAGUGGUAUUUGUUUGAAAAUGAAAGGAUUAUAUGGUCUUUGUAAAAUGAGGAAUUUAGUAUUGGGAGGGGCAGUGGGAUGGUGAUUUAUUUUUUGUUUAUGUUCUUCCGAAUCCUUUGAUAUGUCAACUUCUGUCACUAACCAUUAGGCCACUUGUAAUUUCUUGUAUCAACGAAGAUGAAAUACAUACUGCCUCCAAUAAUUUAUGUCAAAUAUUGAAGGGCAUGGAUGGUAGUGCUUAUUGUGAGAUUAUAAUGAGAAUUGAACUGGGGGCUUCAGAAAUCCAUAGGUAAUUUAUUGUUAAAGAGCACGCAUGAAUCACUCCGGCCUUUAAUUGUCAUGUGGAUGCAUUUUGCUUUCAGCUUGCGCUGGAAACAAAUUGCUGAAAUGGAAUGAUAACUCAGAAGAAAGAUUUCACCAUGACCCUUUGUACUUAUUAAUAUAGUGCCAAGAGUGUAAUGAGUGCCAUGCCUUCUCUUGGGUCAGAUUCUGGUGCGUAGUGAAAGGAAUGCCUUGAAAUUUGUAUUGCUUUUCAUGAAGAAGAAAAACAUAAACAGCAGCAUAUACACCUCGCAAGCAAGGGAUGAGAGUCAAAAAGAUUUGUGGUAUUUAUAAUACUGCACAAUAAAGGUGACCAGGGGAUUUUAUAGGAUGAUUUAACACUGAACUGUGCAAAGAAAUUAAGCCGUUCUGGAGAUUUCUUUGUAACGCACCAACAUCCUCAUCAUCCCUCUUUGCUCUGCUCUCUUUUUAUCUUACAACGUCAAGGUAACACUCCAAAGUGGUUAACCAACUGCUGUGCAUAUCUUACAUAGAUGUGCUGCUUUAGAUCAUGCUGCUGCUCCCAGAGAGAGAAAUUUCAUUGUUAACCCGAAUCUAGGUGUUUUUGUCAAAAAAAAUCAAAGCUACCAGAAAAUGGAUAUAAAUUAUUCGCAGGGUCUGGUUUUCUGACUGCUUUAAUAUCAUGUAAUCAAAGGACAGAUUACUCAAAAUUACUCCUCUUGAGUGCUUCAGUGUAGUCAUCACAGCACUUCUCUGCGACUACUUCACAGUUUCUCAUAAUGUAAGAAUUAGGGGCUACGCAGUGAAACUAGGAAACAGCAAGCUUAAAAUAUACAAAAAAAAAAAAAAGAAAGAAAAAAAAGGGGAUUUGAAAGCAUUUGAAAGCAGGAUGUGUGAUCAAAAUGAGGUACAACUUGACACAGAAAUUUAUGGAAGCCAAAAGUAUAAAGUGUAGAAGAAUUUAACAAAGUCACGAAGGAUAGAUUCUCUGGUGACUUUUAAGCUAAAUGGUCUUGAUGUGGUCACUGUUUUUAGGAGUCCAUUACCCAGAAUGACUAUGAAGAAUGAAUUACAUUUGGGAAGGAGAACUCUGAAUUUGAUCUAUCCAUUUGCUCUUCCCCUGCUGACCACUACCAGAGACAGGACUCUGGCGUAAACUGCCUUUAUGCUUUGUGGCUGCUCUUACAUCCAUAGAAAACUCUUGUAGCCAUUAUGAAUAAUGAAGUGUGUCUUUCACAGAAUCACAGAAUCGUACAGGUUGGAAGGGAGCUCUGGAGAUCAUCUAGUCCACCCUGACAACUCACCCACACCAUGCCCCCUAACCAUGCCCCUCAGUGCCACAUCUCCACAGUUCUUGAACACCUCCAGGGACGGUGACUCCACGACCUCCUUGGGCAGCCUGUGUAACUGCAGCACUGCUCUUUCUCAGAAGAAGUUUUUCCUAAUAUCCAACCUGAACCUCCACUGGCGCAACUUUACCUCUCAUGCUAUCACUAUGCUGUUACUCAGGAUAGUAAAGAGGCAGUACACGGAAGAUCUUUGAUGUUUCAUUCAAAUUAUUUAUGGAGGAGGAACUAUUUUCUAACAGAUUUUUUUUUUUUUACAUUAGUAUGCUGUAAAUUGCUUUGUCUAUGAAGAUAUCAGAGCACUUACCAAUCCAGAGUAGCUUUUCAUAGAAUACGUUCGCUACAAAUAGCUAUAGCACAGCCUAAACUGGACUGUUAGUUAAUCCCAGAUAAAAUCCAUCUCAGGUUCUCCUACAAAUAGCACAUGUUCAAGACCAAGCCCUGACACAUCAGUGAGUAAACCUCAAUAAGCUGCUUCAGGAUAGUGCCACUACAACAGCUUCAUAACACUUGCAAGUGCCAGUAAAGGAUGCCGAAGUGUUGGUUUGCCAGGACUGGAACAGAGCAGCGACCACAGGUGCUUAUUUUCCCUUUUUGUAGUUCAUCGGUGUCAUGCAACUGUUGGCUCAGUCAGCAGAUGUGUCAGCUCUUGGAAUAACAGCUACUUAUGUAGGUUAGGUACAGUGCCAAAAGGUAAGUGUUAUAAAGAGUAAAACUGUAAAGAAUUAUGAACAUAAAGCCUGUGAUAGUAAAGGUGACUCCUUAGCAUUAUGCGCCACAGCAACAUAUUUUACCAAGGGCAGGAAAAGUCAGCUUUAUUUUCACCCCGUCACAAGCCGUAAGUGCUGAGCUAUGUGCAAUUUCCUGUUGGAUUUAAAUAGACACAUUUCUGAGCCCUAAUUUUUACUCUUUUCAUCUCUAGUAAACAAAUUGCCAAUUAAUAAUUAUGAAUUGAUCUCACAUGGCACAAACCUGUGCAAAAUAAUGCAGUAUCCCACUACCAUGCUUUUGGUAGCACUGUGAGCACAUCUGUAUAGAAGUUAUAGUUCAGAAAGGAGGAAAGCCCAGCACAGGACCCAGAACAUGGUCAAGGACCAAGAGCACCUGACUCACAGGGAGAGGCUAAAGAAACGGUUUGUUUGGUCUGGCAAAGAGGAUAAGGGGUAAUGUAAUAGCACCUACUUGACAGGGAGUUACAAAAAAAUGACAUAGCCAAACCUUUCUCAAUGGUCCUAGACAAUGUAACAAGGGGCGAUGGCCACAGAGUGCAGCUUGGCAUGCUCAGGUUGGACAUUGGGAAAAAAUGCACUUGAAGAGUGUUGCAGCACUGGAACAGGUGCCCAAGAGGUUGUGGAAACUGUCCUUGGAGAACUUUAAGACUCAGUUAGAAGUUAAGCACAUCUGCAGCUGGCAAAUGUCCCAUGUCAUGUGGGAGUUGCAUGAGAGGCCUCCAGAUCUUCCUCCCAACCACCAUUUCUAUCUACUCUUUCAACUCUCUGCUUUAAUAAUUUAUACCUUAAAAGAGUGAUUUGCACCUCUGCUUUUUGCACACUCUUAAGUUGGCCUCUCAACCCUGGAGAUUUAGGGUAAGAAGUCAGUACUAUUUCUUCCUUUCAUUGUGCCUUGGAUGAAUCAAUGAAGUGGUCAUACUCAGAGGAUGUCUGCCAGGAGUGAGCAGUGUUGUGAGAAUGUGCUUGUGCUUGUGUAUAAAUCCAGCUGUCAUGCCACUAUCACUAACAGAAUGCUUCUGAUAUGCUCAGGAGCAGAACUUUAGGUGUCUGCUGCUGUCAGUCACUGGCGUGGUUAGACAGCAGUACAGUGUUCAUGGAGUUCAGAUUUUGGAUUUGGACAACUGAUGAGCUUGCUCAGCUCUGUGCUUUAGCGAGUAAUUUGGUUUAAAUUCUUAGGAAUUAAUGUUUAUGAAACCAGAUGUAACUGAGUCCCAGUGCCUUUGCUAUAUAAAUGGUCUGGGAAUUUUUUCUUUGAAGAAGAUGUAGCCUGAUCCUCUGAUCUGAAUUCCUCCACAAAGGUAGUUCGAAGCCAUCUGAAAGAUGAGCCUCUAUAUAUCCUCUCUGGAGCUUGAUGCAUUUUGGAGGCACAACUGGAGCAGAGCUUCCAGGUUCAUCUCUGAGAGGAAUCCAGCAAGCAUAUAACAAAACUUGAUGUAGGGAACUGCUUUAGCAGGGAUUGGACUAGAUGAUCUUAGAGGUCUUUUCCAGCCUUAAUGAUUCUAUGAUUCUAUGAUUUUAUCCUACCUAAACUGUCUGUAGCAAAGAUGUAACUCACCUUCCUGGGAGCACGAGAGGAAAUCCCUGCUCCUGUGUUAAUGCAGUGUAACUGAAAACAAAAUUUUCAAGAGAACAAAUUGCUGGCUGAAAUGCCCAGUAAGGGUUACCCAUCAUCACUCUUACUUCAAAAAAUAUGAGGUUCUGAUAAAGAAGGUGAGAAAGCAAUACAUUUUACAAGACAAUGCCUAAGCUGCAGUUAGCACAGAUGGAGAUAAAAUUCUCUCACUUGAAGAAGACUUUUAGAGAAGUUAUGGAUACCCCAUCCCUGGAGGUGGUCAAGGCCAGGUUGGUUGCAGCCCUGAGCAGCCUGGUCUGCUGGAUGACAACCCUGUCCAUGAUGGAGGGAUUGGAGCUUGAUGAUCUU